rnacentral:lncRNA from 1 species
GUUUUAAUCUCUUACUAAACUUCUUGGGUAUAUACACAUUAAUCCUUGAGUUUUUCUCAAGUUCCAUGUAAACAGCAAGUAUAUCCCUCAAACAGAAAACCAGUAAUUUAUUUCUUAAAAUUCUUCCUUUUCCAUCUGUCUCCCCUCCUACUAUUUCCUUACCCCUUCUCUGUAGCCUAUUCAAUUUCAUCCAGUUGUCCCUUGUUUUUGAAACAUUUUAUUUGUGUGAAGACUAAAUCCCCAUUUCCUUCUUUUUGAUCUCCAUUUAGUCUUGAUUACAAAUCUAAAUGACUUAUGGUCAGUAUUAUUUAGCUCCUUCCUCCACCCACUCACCUUUAUGAGACCAGUCACAUCUUCUGCUUUGAAAAAAGUUUUUAUGCUGGCUCAUUUUUCAUGAUUGCUUUAACAUGAAUCAAAAAGAAAAGCCAUCCUAUAAAACCUGUAUUCCUAGGGGAAGCAAACACUAAGAAAUACAGGGACCCCUGAAAACUUUUGGUAGUUUGAGGUUUAGUUAAAUAUGUAAGAACAAGCUAGAAUAAUAUUCAAGAAGAGUUCUGAAAUAAGUUAAAACUCCUUGUGACAGGUCGGAUGGGCCAAAAAAAACAAAAACAAAAAAACAAAAAAACAAACAAAAAAAACCCCUCCUUUGUUCUCCUCUUCCAUAAAGAGACCAACCAGUGGUUGUUUAAACCAGGUAAUGUUAAGUUUUAAUUCCUCUCUGAUUUGAAAUCAAUAUCUAAUUGUCAAUAAAUAACAUUAUUUAACAUCUUUAAGAUUCAGGACACGAAGCUGGAUAAAUGAAAGGAUAACAACUCUUCCCAUCUUUGCUAGCCAAAGUCCUAUUCCUGAAAUCCCUUUUCAUACAUCCAUUCACAACUGUUGUAUAGAUAGUAAAGACACCUAAACUGAAACAAUACAAAAUAUUCUCAGAAUUUAGCUGCUAUAUGAAAUCACAGAAUUAUAAAUGUUGAAGCUAAACACAGUGACUAUCUAUGCUAGUGUUUCCUAAGCUAUUAGAACUUUGUGCAGAUCUCCUAUUUUUUUUCAUUUUUUUAUAUAAUGAUUUUUAUUUUUUUCCAUUAUAGCUAUUUUACAGUGUUCUGUCAAUUUUCUACUGUAAAGCAUGGUGACCCAGUUACACAUACAUGUAUAGAUUCUUUUUUCUCACAUUAUCAUGCUCCAUCAUAAUUGACCAGACAUAGUUCCCAGUAUUACACAGCAGGAUCUCAUUGUUAAUCCAUUCCAAAGGCCAUAGUCUGCAUCUAUUAAGCUCCCAAUCCAUCCUACUCCCCCCUAAACCCUUUGGCAACCACAAGUCUAUUCUCCAAGUCCAUGAUUUUCUCUUCUGUGGAAAGGUUCAUUUGUGCCAUAUAUUAGAUUCCAGAUAUAAGCGAUAUCAUAUGGUAUUUGUCUUUCUCUUUCUGACUUACUUCAUUCAGUAUGAGAGUCUCUAGUUCCAUCAACGUUGCAGAUCUCCUAUUCUAUAGGAUGGUAGAUUUUAGGAAUCUCUUUGGUAGAGUAACUCACCUUUUCUGCUGUCAUUUUAUUUGCAAGCAGACGAGAUGCCUAGCCUAGGUUAAGAGUAGCAAAGCUACAGCCACAACACAAGUCUUCUGGAUUCCAAGCUCAGGGCUAUUUAUACUACAUCCCAAUACACCCUAUUAAUUUAAUAACAUGGCAGUAAAGAUAAUUCCCACAAAAUUUUGUAGAAUGUAUCCUAAAAUACCUCACAUUUCCUUUUUCUCCCUUACUGUGAGAGUAUAAACCAGAUAUGUUAUCUUUUAGAGUCUGCUGGGGUUUAUCUACUAAAACAUGAACAUUGUCAGGAAAAAGUUAACACAAAGAUUAUCAUAUUUCCCCCUUUUUGUUUUCUCUUCCAAUCAAAAAAAAAAAAAAAACAACCAAACAAAAAAGUCCAAGUAAAGCAGCUCAAAAAGUCUCUACAGGUAGAAAAGUUCAUUCUUUUAUCAAAAAUAAAGAUUUUCAUUAGAAUUAAGCCUUCAGAAUAAAGGAACAGUUCUCCUGUUCAACGUCAUAUAAAAAAUAAUCUGGUUAUUUCAUUAAUAAGUGGGAAACAAAAACAUCACACUUCAACAACAUCUCCAUAAAGAUCUGAGUAGGUCAGUUUAAAAAUAGCUUUUAGUGGAAGUUCUCGAGUAGCACAGCAGUUUAAGGAUCCAGCAUUGCUGCAGCAUGGCUGUGGUGCACAAGUGUGGCCUGGGUUGGAUCCCCAACCCAGGAACUUAUACAUGCCCUGGUGUGGCCAAAACAAACAAAAAAAAAAAACGUAGUUGUUAGUAUCAAGACGGAAGAGGUUAUUCUUAGCCCAAGGAGAUAAAGUCAAGCCCUAAGAGUAGGAGGAAGUGAUAUGCAAUAUAGUAAUUCCUCUAUUCCAUGUCCUCCAAUUGUAAAAUGAAUAGCAUUUCUCAAAUUAUUUUAUUUUGUUAAAAGACAUUUUCAUAAUCUAGACUGCCAUUUCAACUCUUUGGCAAAUAAAUGUUAGUAGAAAAGAUUACUCUCCCAAAGAUAUCAAUAAAAUGAAUUACAGUUUAUUCAAGUCCCUUUUUUUAUCUCUGAACGAUGCCUUCCAGUACUUGCCUAACACCCCAAGAACCAAGGAUAAAAAUUACAAUCCCUUUUCCAAAGUUGGUGCCUAGAGUAGCUAGAAAUGAAUAGAAGGAAUUAAGAUUCACUCUGACCCAAAUAGUAAUUCAGGAAAAAUUUCUAUCAUUGGAUCAAAAAUGUACGCUCUAUCAUUAUAAAGCUGAUCGAAGAAACAGAGAGAUGUAGCUAUUUCCUUGUGAUUGACAUUCUUUUUUAAAAAAACAAUGUUCAAGUUCAUAUUGACUCCUGACAAUACAUACAGUCUUCCAGGUAACCAACAAAAACUGGAUUUUUGCUUAAUCAACCAGGCUAAUUAAGGCUUCUGUUCUGAUCUUCGGAUGACAAGGCAGAGUUUUGCUUCAAUCAAAUUGCUGGUUGACUCUUCCAUGGGCCUAAAUCAUACCCAGCAAUGUAAUCAAACCAGUUUGGCUAAAUUACACACCGUAUAUCAGUAAAUGGCUUUUCUGGGU